AUGGGAAGCCCUGAUCACCAGAUGAAUCCUUGCGCCAUCUGCCAGGGCAGCAUGGUCGCCGGUGGUGGGCAGGCCAUCUUCACGGCGGAGUGCUCCCACACGUUCCACUUCCGCUGCAUUUCCGACAGUGUCGCUCGCGGCCACCACAGGUGCCCGCUGCCGCUCUGCAAGGCGCAGUGGCGCGAGCUGCCGUCUGCGCUACCCGCGCAGCCACAGCCUCUAGACCCAGGCGAGUGCAUGGCCGCGGCGAGGGCGGCGGCAGAGCGGGGCGCGCCUCAGGAGGCGGCGACCAUACUCAAGAACCAGCAGCGGGCGAUUCUUCGAACGGGAGCAGCACAAAUCGGCGACCCCGUGCUUGCAGAACUGGGAGCCGAGCUGCUCAAGAUGCGCAGGCGAAUGCGCGCGUUGACGGGCCAGCAGAGCUAG
rnacentral:rRNA from 1 species